rnacentral:lncRNA from 1 species
GUUAUGGCGGAGCGCAUUCUCUCAUACUGCCUGGAGCUCCAACAGACGUGUGCGCAGCGCACUGACCACGUGAACGGCAUGCCACUGUACAGACCUCGACUUACUGCAUUCCGUAAUGUUAUUAUAGAUGGGAACGUUGCCUGUCUUUAAAUGUGACGAAAAACUGUCAAAAUGUGUUCCAAGGGACGCUAAAAAAAAAUAGCGUAGACGUCGUAACAACGGAGGACGGACGGAGGUCGUAUUCAGCAAUGUCCAGAGCAAGCCUUAACGUGCCCCCCCAUAUUUCUUUAUAACUCCAGAGAGUACUGGCUGUGUGAUAUAUUUUCGGCCCCUACCGACAGACUGUGACGCCACAAAGAUUCGUGUAUGUUCUGCGGUCGGACGUCUCCUAGACCGUCACCGUGGCGUGUUUGUGAGGAAAUGAAAGUGAAAGUGGGAGUUAGCGCUCACUCCGCGCCAUGCCUUCCCAACUGGCUUGUAGCGAGUCUAAGGUGCACAAGGAGAUUCUACAGCUGUUAUCUCAACACCCUUCUGGACUGAAGGUAUCUGACUUCACUGCAGCCUAUCGGAAAAAGUACUGUAAAGAUCUAGUCCUCUCCAGACAUGGAUUCAAUAAGCUGACAGGUCUUUUCAACGCCAUGAAGGAUUUUGUGGAUAUUCUGGAGUUAAAUGGAGAUCAAUUUGUCAAGAUUAAGUCGAAGCACAUUCACGAAGACCAGGCCUCAGGAUCCUGUCACUAUGAGGGCCCACGGCAUUCACGAGAAGACUCCCCGGUUACCGCUCUGUCUUGCCAGCACAGCUCACUCUUGUCUAAGGUGCACGAGGAGAUUCUACAGCUGUUGUCUCAACAUCCUUCUGGACUGAAGACCAGGUCUCAGUAUCCUGUCACUAUGAGGGCCCACGGCAUUCACGAGAAGACUCCCCAGUCACCCCUCUGUCUUGCCAGCACGGCACACUCUUGAUGUCAGAGGAAAACCACAAUAGUGCCACCAGAAAGUCCUUCAGGCAUGAUCAAGAUCAAAGUCAGCAACGAUCAGGAAGUCCAGUGCCUGUACAGACAGACCCAAUGAAAGAGCUGAAGGCUUCCCUUCAGGCGCUCAUGAAAAAACAUCCGCAAGGUGUACCACUGACAGCUGUUCGAAGAUCCUGCCCCACCCUGUAUCACCCUGCACUACUGAAUAAUUAUGCAUCUGUGAAGCAUCUCCUGGCCUCUCUUACUGAUGUGGUACAACUGCAGGGUAUUGGUGUUCAGACCCUUGUUCAUCCAGCAGCUGUUAGGACAAAAUCACAUUGAUGCAUAUUCUACAUGCACUAUGCUUAUUUUUUUCCUCAGACUCUUACAAUAAUUAUAGCUUUCAACAUUUAACCAAAUAGUAAUUACAAUGGAAAUUAUAAUGCAACAUAGAACAGUGAAGAUAAUUUGGAGGCUUAUCAUAGACAAGCUGUGUGAUAAUUUUUCAGUUCAUUCUAGCACAGUAUAAUACUUGGCAAAAUAAAAUGAAAGGAAGGUACA